UACGUGGGGGGCAAGCGUUGUCCGGAAUCAUUGGGCGUAAAGCGCGUGUAGGCGGCCCGGUAAGUCCGCUGUGAAAGUCCAGGGCUCAACCCUGGGAUGCCGGUGGAUACUGUCGGGCUCGAGUCCGGAAGAGGCGAGUGGAAUUCCUGGUGUAGAGGUGAAAUUCGUAGAUAUCGAGAGGAACACCGGUGGCGAAGGCGGCGAUCUGGACAGUGACUGACGCUGAGACGCGAAAGCGUGGGGAGCAAACAGG
rnacentral:rRNA from 1 species